AGAACGAACGCUGGCGGCAUGCCUAAUACAUGCAAGUCGAACGAACACUUCGGUGUUAGUGGCGCACGGGUGCGUAACGCGUGGGAAUCUGCCCUUGGGUUCGGAAUAACAGUUGGAAACGACUGCUAAUACCGGAUGAUGACGAAAGUCCAAAGAUUUAUCGCCCAGGGAUGAGCCCGCGUAGGAUUAGCUAGUUGGUGAGGUAAAGGCUCACCAAGGCGACGAUCCUUAGCUGGUCUGAGAGGAUGAUCAGCCACACUGGGACUGAGACACGGCCCAGACUCCUACGGGAGCAG
rnacentral:rRNA from 1 species